rnacentral:tRNA from 1 species
AGAAAUAUGUCUGAUAAAAGAAUUACUUUGAUAGAGUAAAUUAUGGAGGU